AUAUCAAUAAGCGGAGGAAGAGAAACUAACAAGGAUUCCCCUAGUAACUGCGAGUGAAGCGGGAAAAGCUCAAAUUUAAAAUCUGGCGGUCUCCGGCUGUCCGAGUUGUAAUCUAGAGAAGUGUUAUCCGCGCUGGACCGUGUACAAGUCUCCUGGAAUGGAGCGUCAUAGAGGGUGAGAAUCCCGUCUUUGACAUGGACUGCCUGCAUGUUGUGGUAUGCUCUCAAAGAGUCGAGUUGUUUGGGAAUGCAGCUCAAAAUGGGAGGUAAACUUCUUCUAAGGCUAAAUAUUGAUGGGAGACCGAUAGCGCACAAGUA
rnacentral:rRNA from 1 species